UCACUGGCAGAACGGAAGCGCGCAUUCGACAACACACGUUUCAAAACAUUUUGACUAGUUAUUUUUCGAAUAUUUUCAGUCUUCGUGCAAUGUUUGAGUCUGACCGCAUUAGCAACCUAAAUUAAGUUCGUAUGUUAAAAGGAAAUGUGGCGGUAUUUUCAACUCAAGCAAUCACUCCAUGUAUCCCAACUGACAAGUCUGACCACAUCCUGGAUUGGUUGCCACUUGCCAGUCAAUCACAGGGCAAAUAUCGACGGAUAACCAUUCACACUCACACUGUCAUUGGGUGGGAAUUGAACCCAUGCUAUCAGAAGAAGAGUAGCAUUGGUUGUGAGCCCACAUGACCCAAGCGCUUGGCAGUCAUCAUGGUAGUGACACUGAGGGUAUGCGCUGAUAAUGUCAUA